rnacentral:rRNA from 2 species
UGAGGGAAAGGCGAAAAGAACCCCGGCGAGGGGAGUGAAAAAGAACCUGAAACCGUGUACGUACAAGCAGUGGGAGCCCCACCACUAAGCCAGUGGUGAACUCCACAUCCGCAUCCUUUGCUGAGGAUACGGUUAACGGAGCGAAAGCGACGUUCAACCGCAAAACAAGCAGAGGGGGCUUAGUGGUGGGGUGACUGCGUACCUUUUGUAUAAUGGGUCAGCGACUUAUAUUCUGUAGCAAGGUUAACCGAAUAGGGGAGCCGGAGG